rnacentral:rRNA from 1 species
CCUACGGGGGGCAGCAGUAGGGAAUAUUGCUCAAUGGGGGAAACCCUGAAGCAGCAACGCCGCGUGGAGGAUGAAGGUUUUCGGAUUGUAAACUUCUUUUGUUAGAGAAGAUAAUGACGGUAUCUAACGAAUAAGCACCGGCUAACUCCGUGCCAGCAGCCGCGGUAAUACGGAGGGUGCCAGCGUUACUCGGAAUCACUGGGCGUAAAGAGGGCGUAGGCGGGAUAGCAAGUCAGAUGUGAAAUCCUAUGGCUUAACCAUAGAAUUGCAUUUGAAACUGUUAGUGUAGAGGAUAGGAGAGGUAGGUGGAAUUCGUGGUGUAGCGGUAAAAUCCGUAGAGAUCAAGAAGAAUACUGAUUGCGAAGGCAGCCUGCUAGAACAUAACUGACGCUGAUGCGCGAAAGCGUGGGGAGCAAACAGGAUUAGAUACCCCAGUAGUC